rnacentral:rRNA from 1 species
UACAGAGGGUGCAAGCGUUGUUCGGAAUUAUUGGGCGUAAAGGGUGCGUAGGCGGUGCGGUAAGUCUUUUGUGAAAACUCCGGGCUCAACUCGGAGCCUGCAAGGGAAACUGCCGUGCUGGAGUAUGGGAGGGGUGAGUGGAAUUCCUGGUGUAGCGGUGAAAUGCGUAGAUAUCAGGAGGAACACCUGUGGCGAAAGCGGCUCACUGGACCAUUACUGACGCUGAUGCACGAAAGCUAGGGGAG